rnacentral:rRNA from 1 species
UACAGAGGGUGCAAGCGUUAAUCGGAAUUACUGGGCGUAAAGCGUGCGUAGACGGUUACAUAAGUCGGGUGUGAAAGCCCCGGGCUCAACCUGGGAAUUGCAUUCGAGACUGCGUAGCUAGGGUGCGGAGGAGGGAAGCGGAAUUUCCGGUGUAGCGGUGAAAUGCGUAGAUAUCGGAAGGAACACCAGUGGCGAAAGCGGCUUCCUGGUCCAGCACCGACGUUCAGGCACGAAAGCGUGGGGAGCAAACAGG